rnacentral:tRNA from 1 species
GUGGUUCUGGCUCAGUUGGUAAAGUACGUGCCUUAGAAGCAUAAGGACCUGAGUUUGAUUCCCAGUACCCACC